rnacentral:rRNA from 1 species
GAGUUUGAUCCUGGCUCAGAGCGACGCUGGCGGCAGGCCUAAUACAUGCAAGUCGAGCGCACCUUCGGGUGAGCGGCGGACGGGUGAGUAACGCGUGGGAACGUGCCCUUUGGUACGGGAUAACUCAGGGAAACUUGAGCUAAUACCGUAUGUGCCCUUCGGGGGAAAGAUUUAUCGCCAUUGGAGCGGCCCGCGUUGGAUUAGGUAGUUGGUGGGGUAAAGGCCCACCAAGCCUACGAUCCAUAGCUGGUCUGAGAGGAUGAUCAGCCACACUGGGACUGAGACACGGCCCAGACUCCUACGGGAGGCAGCAGUAGGGAAUCUUGCGCAAUGGGCGAAAGCCUGACGCAGCCAUGCCGCGUGUAUGAUGAAGGUCUUAGGAUUGUAAAAUACUUUCACCGGGGAAGAUAAUGACGGUACCCGGAGAAGAAGCCCCGGCUAACUUCGUGCCAGCAGCCGCGGUAAU